CUACGGGUCGCUCCAGUUAAGAAUCUUCUGCAAUGCGCGAAAGCGUGACAGAGCGAGCCAGAGUGCUUUUCCAUUUGGAACAGCUUUUGCCAAAUGUAAAAAGUUUGGCGAAUAAGGAGUGGGCAAGACCGGUGCCAGCCGCCGCGGUAAUCCCGGCAGUCCAAGUCGCAGCCACAAUUAUUGGGUCUAAAACAUCUGUAGGUGGUUUAGCAAGUCUUCUGUGAAAUCCUAUAUCUUAAAUAUAGGGUGUGCAGGAGAUACUGCAUUGCUAGAGACCAGGAGAUGUAAGAAGUAAAAUUGAGGUAGUAGUAAAAUACAUUGAUCUUAAUAUGACUAACGACAGCGAAGGCAUCUUACAAGAAUGGAUCUGACAGUGAGAGAUGAAGGCUAGGGUCGCGAAAAGGAUUAGAUACCCUGGUAGUC
rnacentral:rRNA from 1 species